rnacentral:misc_RNA from 1 species
AAGAAGAAGAAGAAGAAGAAGAGACAAGUGAGGAAUGGAGGUUUCCGGUGAAUGGAGAAGGGUUUAGGAGGUGUCAUGAGCUGGGGACACAGCAUCAUGAUUAUCACCACGGCCACCAUCAUAAUUUGCAUGUAUGGAGCCAGCACUGCGUGACAACUAGGUGAAGCUAAGUCCUAAGAUGGUCACGUGGGGUGUGAAAAAGAGACGAGAAUUAAAGAGUGUGUGCGUCUGUGUAUCUGCGUGUCCUUAAUUGAGGACGCCUACUGUUGUUCUUUGGUAGACAAUACAAAAUUAAUUUCUCAAGGGAGAGAAGGUUGAUGCGUCUCAACUAAAUUUGGAGGAGUGGAUUGGAUUGGUUCAAUGGGUUCGAAUCGAAUCUUGGGAUCCACAUCAAUUGAAAGAGCCUUGCGGGUAACACACACAGAUUUAUCAGUUAAAAUUUCCAAAUUUAGAAAUUUGAUACACAAUUUUUCUUAUUAUUUUUUAUCUUUGAAAGAAAAAAUUGGCAAAUGCCAAAUGCCAUAUCUAUGAUCAUCACCAUAACCAAAGUCUAGAAAUUUGAUGAGUUUAUGAAUUAUGGUCUCUUCCACCAAAGAACAAAAGAAGUGAUGAUAAUAAUAAUAAUAAAUUAUGUAUUUAUAAUGGAUAUUUUAGCACAAAGGUUAUGGUUUCCUGGUCUAUGUGGCCUGGUUGUAUUGGUUGGUUGAUGUAGCAAAAUUAAUGGUCAAUGGAUACGGAGACUUUGAAAUGUACACCAAUUAUUAAAUUAUUAUAUAUAGUGUUGACAAAUUUUUGUGCCUAAUGAUAUAAUAUGAUCACAUGAUCGACCUGCCUUGCAGAGAUGAUAUCAUAUCAUAUCAGCAGUCAGCUUAAAAAUGCAACAAAUUACUGCGAUCAAAAUAUCAAGUGUUAUAAGUUUUUCUGUUGCGAAGAGUGUGAACAUGAAGAAUACCUCAAGAUUUCAGGGUGUAAACUUCUAAUGGUGGUGAUAUGUUCAAAAGAAGUCUGCUAUAUCAGCUAAUAUUAAAAUUUUGCUGUGAAGGCUUCAGAAAACUAGGGCCCAGUUCAAGUCCGUAGGGGUGAGUAGUAAGGAGUCCAUAUCACACAUAUCAAUAUAAAGAAUUAAUAAGCAUAUCCAAUUGCAGAUUUUAGUCAUUUUGGGUAGCUUUUCUCCUUGUUGGCGUUUUGCUCUAUUCAGUUCCACGACACAUUUGGCAUGAAUGUCUUCCAACUUUAAAGAAAGUUAAUAUCUG